rnacentral:pre_miRNA from 1 species
GGCCUCCCUCUGCUGGGCAAUUGAUCGCAGGGUUCCACGAUUGAUUGCCCAGCAGAGGCAGGCC